rnacentral:lncRNA from 1 species
AUUUUCUCUGUUCCAAUUCCUUCAUUGUAAUGUUGGAGGGGCUGUGACUAGAAGAGGCCCAAAGCUGAAGAAUGGUAAAAUAUUGUUAUCUAUAACCACAGGACAGGCUAUUCACUCUUAAUAAAAUGUGCUUUUUAUUGACCAAACUUCCCUUCUCCAUCCCUGACACACUCACACACACAAGGGCACACACACAUCCACACACACAUUAAUGUCACACUUUUCUUCAUAUUCACACAUCAUGAAAACACUCCCUGACAUGACAGAUUUGAAGAUUUAAAUAAGCAAUAUUUUCCUAUUUUUUUUUUUUUUUUGCAGAUAGAGUCUUGCUCUAUCACCCAGGCUGGAGUGAAGUGGUGCAAUCUCAGCUCAAUACAACCUCUGCCUCCUGGGUUCAAGCCAUUCUCCUGCCUCAGCCUCCCUAGUAGCUGGGACUACAGUCCUGGAAAGAAAAUAUGCUUGGUCACUGGCCAGGUGAUGGCAACCGUUCACCUUGGUCUAAUUACCAAAGGAGUAAAGAAGAAGACAGAGGGGCCUGACCAUUCGGAUUCUCCCUACAGAGUUGGGAGGUAAGAUACAUUAAAAUAUAUAUAUAUAUAUACUUAGCAUAUAAAUAUUAUUAUGAGCUUAGUUUACAUUCUGCAGAACUGCAGCACUAGU